UUUGGGCUGAGGAAUGGGGGUGGGGGACACAAAAGGUGGUGGAAGGGAAGGAGAUUGCUAAGAGAAUCAAAGAGAUGAUGAGCAAUGAGUCUUUGAGGGUCAAAGCUGGAGAAAUGAAGGAGGCAGGAAGGAGAUCGCUAAGAGAAUCAAAGAGAUGAUGAGCAAUGAGUCUUUGAGGAUCAAAACUGGAGAAAUGAAGGAGGCAGCAAGGAAGGCUUGUGGUGUUGGCGGGAGUUGUGAGCUUAUUAUUAAGAGACUAAUUGAGGAGUGGAAGAGGAAUGCUCAAGUAAACUGAGCAUUGGAACUCACUACUAUUUUGCCAAUUCACAAUAUGAAGUUUAAGUCUGCAUUUGAAUUUCUGUCAGAAAAUAAUACAGUCGCAAUCUCUAUUGCAU
rnacentral:sRNA from 1 species